UAAUUUUUUGUAUUUUUAGUAGAGAAGGAUUCCUCCAUGUUGGUCAGGCUGGUCUCAAACUUCUGACCUCAGGUGAUCUGCCUGCCUCGGCCUCCCAAAGUGCUGGGAUUACAGGCAUCAGCCACUGUGCCCGGCGACUCUUUUCUUACGUGGGCUUUGCUAAUAGUAGAGAUUGUGACCUAUCUCUGGGCCCAGCACCUAGAUAUUAUGACUGUCCUACCCUGCCUGGUCCAUGCCCACAGAAAAGAGUGACUUAUCACUAGGCUUAACACACAAGUGAUUCGAUUCUUCUGCAUGAUCCCAGCCCACAUGGCUUAUUGUGACAUAUCUAGACCCAUCACCUAGAUGAUGUAACUCUCCUUUUCUUUCUGGGAACUGUCCAUAAUGAGGAUUGUGACACAUCACUUGGCCCAGCACUUAUGUGAUAUGACUCUCUUCUUUUGCCUGGGCUUAUCAAAUUGGGUGAUUAUGUCAUAUAGCUGUACUCAGCUCCUAGGUUAUGUGUCUCUCCUGUUUCUCCUGAGUCCAACCCACAGAGGUCAUUGCAACAUAUCUCUGAGCCCCUAAUUUACGUAGUUUGACUCCUGCCUGGGCCCUCCCUUCAGUGAUUUUUGUGACAUAUUUUUUGACUCAGCACCUAGGUAAUGUGACUCUUCUCCACUGCUUGGACUCUGUCACAGAAGGUAUUGUGAUGUAUCACUGGGCCUGACACCUAGGUGAAGGUACUGUCUUCUCCUGCCUGGGCCCUGCAUAAAUUGUAUAUUUUGACAUGUCACUGGGUUCAACACAUGGGUGAUUCAACUCUCUCACAUGGACCUUGAGCAUGGGGUUAUUAGGACAUUUAUUUUUGUUCAUCUCAGUGAUAUGACUCCUUUCCUCCCUGAACCCUGUCAAAAAGAAAGAUUGUGACAUAUCACUUAAACCAGAACUUAGGUGAUGAGACUCUUCUGUCUAGCAACCACUUAUUUUGGGUAUUGUGACAUUUCACUGGGCCAAACACCUAAAAAAUGGGAGGCUCCUGCCUCAGCCCUGUCCACAUAUAUCUGGACAUAUAUCUGCAUCCAUUACAUAAAACAUGUGAUACCUUUUCUGCCUGUACCCUGCCCACAGGAAAGAUUGUGACACUGCAGGGCCUGGCCGCCAGCUGUUGUGUCUCACCUGAAUGUACAUAACUUUCAGGAGAAAGUUGUAACAUGUCACUGGUUGAAAACCCAGAUGAUGUGACUCUCCUGGCUUUUCACAGCCCUCAGGGAAAAAAUUUACAUAUCAGUGGCCCAGCAUCCAGGUGAUGCGACUCUCCUGGGUGCUUUCUGCCAACAAGUUGAUUGGUAACAUAUAUCUCAUCCCAGCUCACAGGUUUGAUGAUGACUCUAAUACUUCAUACCAGUCAAUAGAAGAGAUAGUGUCUCUCACAGCUAGGCUUAGAAAAAGGAGUAAAAUCUCAGGUCUCCUCUCUGCAUGAAGGUUAUAGCGAAUCACCACUCUCAUAUAUUGUAUAAAGCACUCAGAUGAUACAGAGCAUGUCAUCAUAGGACCCAGCAAACAGGUUAGAUCAUGUUUCAUGUAAGCGCUCCCUGACAAUUUUUAGAAUUGUCAUCGUCACACAUGGUGAAAGUCCACUGAUGAGGUCAUAAUUCUCAUGCACAGAUGCAGUCCACAGUUAAAAUUGUAACUAUCAUAUGUAAACGUGGCCACAGUUGAGAUGGUGACUCAUUUCUAAACCCAGCUCAUAGGUGAGUGAGGACUCUCCUCUCUGGACCCAGCCAAUUGAAGAGAUGUUGACCCAUACCUAGACUUAGGACCACAUAAGAUCAUGGGUCCAAAGCAGCGCAAAGUUCUCAGAGUAGGUUGCAACUCAUACAGUCCUCAAGAGAGUGCCCUUACAGGGCCAAGCACACAGGUGAGAUUGUCAAACUUACAUUCACACCCAGUCAAUAGCAAAGAUUGUCAUUUACUUAAACACACCCUACUUUUGAGGUUCUGAAUCUCACUUUUGGAGGCAGUUGAAUGUUGGAAAAUUGACUCUCAUUUGUGUGGAUUUUGUCCACAUUUGGGUGACUCUUUAAUCAAAAUUCAGCACACCUUUGUGACUGUAACUUCACUAAGGAGCUUUAUUUAUUUAGAGAUGAAGUUUCAUUCUUGUAACCCAGGCUGGAGUGCGGUGGCGUGAUCUCCGCUCACUGCAACCUCUGCCUACUGGGUUCAAGCGAUUCUCCUGCCUGAUUCUCCCAAGUAGCUGGGAUUACAGGUGCUCACUACCAUGUUGGCUAAUUUUUUGUAUUUUUAGUAGAGAUGGGGCUUUACCAUGUUGGUCAGGCUGGUCUUGAACUCCUGACCUCAAGUGAUCCGCCCACCUCGGCCUCCCAAAAUGCUGAGAUUACAGGUGUGAGCCACCGUGCCCAGUCUAAGGCACACAAUUUGCAAAGGAAAUUGAGGCUCUCGCACAAAUCCAGUCCACCCUGUACUUACACCCAACAUGCAGGAGGUGUUGACUCUCAUCCCUUGACUCAGGACAUGUGUGUAAUUGUUAAUGUCAUCGCAAGGCCUUUUGACAAGUGUAAUUGUGACAUAUACCUUGGCCUAGCAUCUGAGUUAUUUGUUGUUUCCUGGGUCCAGCUCACAGUGCCAUAUCACUGGAUCCAGACCCUUGGUAAUGUGAUUCUAUUCUGCCUUGAUACAGCCCACAGGGGUCAUUGUGACAUCGCUGGGCAUUGCACCUAGGUGAUUUGAGUCUCCUCUUCUGCCUUGGUGCUGCCCACAGGUGUAUUGUGACAUAUUGCUGGGCGUAUGUUAUGUGACUCUUGCUUGUGCCCUAAACACAUAGGCCAUUGUAACAUUGCUGAGUGCAACACCCAGGUGAUGUAACGCUUCACCCUGGACCUGUCUACAGAGGGCAUUGUAAUAUAUGUCUUCACCAAUCACCCAGGAAAUGUGACUUUUUAUUCCUCCCUGUUCUGUACUCACAGGGGGUAUUGGGACAUAUUGGGCCCAGCACCUAGCUGAUGUGACUUUUCUUUAUUCUAGGUUCUGACAACAAAGGAGAUUGUGACAUAUUGCUGGGCCUAACACUAAGGUGAUGUUAGUUAUUUGCUUUGGCUGUGCCCUUGGAAGGCAUUGAGACAUACUGCUGUGCCCAGCACCAAGAUGAUGUAACGUGACUCUUCUGCUUCAGGCCUGCCAAAAGAAAAGAUUGUGACAGAUCACUGGACCCAGCACCUAGGUGAUAUGACUCUCCUCAUUUGCCUGAGACCUGCAUAUUUUAGACAUUGUGAUAUACAACUGGAACAAACACCUAGGGGUUGGAAGGCUCCUGCCUGAG
rnacentral:lncRNA from 1 species